UACGGAGGGGGCUAGCGUUGUUCGGAAUUACUGGGCGUAAAGCGCGCGUAGGCGGACUUUCAAGUCAGGGGUGAAAUCGCGGGGCUCAACCUCGGAACUGCCUUUGAUACUGCAAGUCUUGAGUCCGAGAGAGGUGAGUGGAAUUCCUAGUGUAGAGGUGAAAUUCGUAGAUAUUAGGAAGAACACCAGUGGCGAAGGCGGCUCACUGGCUCGGUACUGACGAUGAGGCGCGAAAGCGUGGGGAGCAAACAGG
rnacentral:rRNA from 1 species